AGACGUACAUAGAUGAGGCACAGACCUAUUGUCCACUCCAAUUGAAAUGGGAGUCGACAAAGGAUGUUCACAGCCUCCAGACGGAGCAUACGGUCCUCCAUGCACGGACGAGGGGGAGCUGCUUGUAGGAACUGAAGACUUGCCAGAGGGAGCUGACAUUGUGCCAUGCCCGGACGUCGAGCACGAGCCGUUGCCCACUCCAAUUGACGAUAAGCAAGGUAUUGC